rnacentral:rRNA from 1 species
AGCGAACGUUUGCGGCGGGCCUAACACAUGCAAGUCGAACGGGCAGUCCCUUCGGGGGCUGUCAGUGGCGCACGGGUGCGUAACACGUAGGUAAUCAACCCUCGGGUUCGGGAUAACACUUCGAAAGGGGUGCUAAUACCGGAUGCGACGAGCGUCUCCUCGGAGAUGCACGGGAAAGAUCCGCAAGGGUCGCCCGAGGACGAGCCUGCGGCCCAUCAGCUUGUUGGUGAGGUAAUGGCUCACCAAGGCUAAGACGGGUAGCUGGUCUGAGAGGAUGAUCAGUCACACUGGAACUGAGACACGGUCCAGACUCCUACGGGAGGCAGCAGUGGGGAAUAUUGCGCAAUGGGCGAAAGCCUGACGCAGCCACGCCGCGUGAGCGAUGAAGGCCUCGU